rnacentral:lncRNA from 1 species
AAAUGUUUUUUUUUUUUUUUAACGUAAUAAUAUCUUUAUUGCAUAUUUGCUGUAACAAUUUACUAAGUUUACAGCUUGUAACUUAGUAUCCCUCAUGUUAGUUUACCUAAUAGUUUAGGGAAGCACUAUUUGGUAAGAUAUAACUAAUUCAUAAUAUUAGUAUCUAUAGUACAAUUGAUUUCACAAUUAUAUAUUAAAAUAAAUAUUGUGAAUACACAUACAGAUCUUUGUUAAAUAAUUUCCUUCCCUAUUUUUAUACAUUAACUUUUCCGGAAUCUUUUCCGUUAUCGAUUUUAUCAAAUGAUCCGUAUUCCAUUGAAAGAAAUUGGGCAUAGUUAGUGUUGUCUCAACAAGCAUGUGCGUUAUCGCAUUAUUGAUUGUGUCUAAAUAUUCUUAUAUAAACAGGAUUUAACUUAUUUUAUAAAAUUUGGUAAGUAUGCAAUUUUUGUUUAAGUUUCUACUGAUCUAUGGUAUGUCGUCGUGUAUAUGUAUUACACAAGUAAGUCAUUCAUUUUAGCGUGCACAAUUCACAAUUUGUCUACACUAGAAUAAAUUAUUAAAUAAUCGUGAUUACACAUGUUUAUCUUUUUUUCCCCCUAUAAUGUUUAUGAAUAAAACAACAAUAUGUACCAUGUCGUUACUUAUGCAUGGUUGAACAUUUUUACAAACAUGCCAACAUGCAUGAUUGAACUUGUGAAUAAACAUGACCAUAUAUGGCUUGUAAACAAUUAACAAUUGUGUUUACAAAUUACUAUGUUUUAACUUUUUAUAAAAUAAUGUUUCAAACAUUUAAAUUGAUUUAAUUCUGAUUUUUUUUUUAAAUCUUCAAUGAAUCUAUUUGUUUUUAGAAUUGUCUUACUAUUAUUUUUGUUAUUAAAAUUGUUCAUUUCAAUAAUAUCUGAAAUUUCUUUUUGGAAAAUUUUCAAAAUGUUUAUUUUUUUUUGUUUCUUUUCUGAGACAUAAUAUGCUUUAUAUAAUGAAAAGGAUAUUAUUGUUAGUAUGUAGUUAAUAUCAAAGUAUGCUGAGUCUUCAAUUUUGUACCCUAUUACUAGAUUUUCAAGACUUAUAAUGUUUUUGUCUAUACCUAGGGAGUUCAUUAAUUUCAUUGCUAUUUUUAGGAAGUCUGUAUUAAAUAAGCAGUUGACAAAAAAGUGUUCAUAGUUAUCUUUUUCUUUACAAUGUUUACAUAAGUUGUCUUCAGUAAUUUUCCACUUUUUUAAUAGUUCAUUGCAUGGCAGAAUAUAGUGAAUAAGUUUCCAUCUAAACAUUUUUAAUCUGUUAUCAGUGAGAUAUUGAAAAAUGAAAACAAAGUUAUUUUUGAACUUGUAACUUAAAUUUUUGUCAAAUAAUUUUUCCCACAACAGAAAACCGUUCGGUUUUUCAUGAUUUUCUUUUAGUUUGAACAUUUUAUAAAGUUCUCUAGUGCUCGUUAAUGGAGUUAUUGUUGUGUACCUAAUUUUUAAGUCGUUAACAACUUUAACUUUAGUUUUGAUGGAUUCUUCAGUACAAAGAAUUAAUUUCCAAUUCAUUGGAAUAGCCUUUUUUUAACAUAUAUAUUUGGUUUAUCCAAUUUUGUUUAUAUUUAAGCUUUUAGAUAAGAUGGUUGUUUCAGAGAUUUUUACCCUCUUCAUCAAUGAUAUCAUUUAUUGUAAUUAUAUCACUUUUUAUCCAAUCGUCAAAGUUUAGACAUUUUCUGUUAAACCUAAUAUUAUCAUUUCCCCACAAAACUUGUUUUUCUAAUUUCAAAAAAUCUUUUGGGAUAUUUUGUGUUUCCUCCUUUUUCACUAAUCCAAUCUUUAAUUAGUUGCUUGUAAAAGUCUGGCAUAUUUUGUAACUUAUUUUUAUCAAUGUCUUUAAUACUUUUUAAAUUCAUUUUGAAUACAAGAAGAUUUUUCCCUAAUUUGUUAAAAUAAAAUUUUGGAAUGAUUGUCCAAUUAUCAUUUUUAUCUUCACUUAAUUUUAAAAUCCAGCUGAUAUGCAGUGAUUUUAUGUAAACAUCAAUGUCUGUCAUUUUAAGUCCACCUUCCAAAAAAUCUUUUGAAAGUGUGGAUCUUUUUAUUUUGUCUUUUUUGCCUUUCCAUAUAAAAUUAUAUAUCAAAGUUUUUAAAAUUUGCAACAUUUCUUUAGGAAUUAUAGUGUUUGAUGCAAUAUAUGUUAGGUUUGGCAAAACAAGUGAUUUGAUGAUGACUAUCUUUCCUAUAAUAGUAAGAUUUCUUUUACUCCAAUCAGUUAUUAUUUUUUUACAUUUUAAAAAGCUGUUUUUCAAAGUUUAAUUUUUGACAUUCUUGUUUAUUGUGACCAAAUAAAUUCCAAGACUUUUAAUAGGUGUAGUACACCAAUUUAUAUCUUCACAUUUAUCACGACAGUGUUUCAAUUGGCCUAGCCAUAUCCCUUCAGUUUUUGUUUUGUUCAAUUUUAAGCCUGAGAAAGUACCAAAUAUUUCUAUUAAAUUAAUUGCAAGAGUAACAUCUUUUUUUGAUUGAAGAAAUAAAGUAGUAUCAUCUGCUAGUUGGCAAAUUUUCAGAGUAUUACUUUUUCCGUCUAGUUUUAUUUCUAGUCCUUUUAAAUUUUUAUUUUCCCUUAUCUUAAUUGCCAUUACUUCUACUGCUAGAACAAAUAGUAACGAUGAUAACGGACAUCCUUGUCGGAUUCCACGUGAAGCACUGAAUCGAGUAGAAACCCACCCGUUAUUAAUAAUGCAUCCUUUAAUAUCCGAGUACAUUGUCUGAACCCACCUAAUAAAAUUAUUUUUAAAGCCAAAUUUCUUUAAAGUCUCAAACAUGAAGUCCCAUUCUAACGAGUCAAAUGCUUUUGUAAAGUCAAGGAAUAAGAUUGCCCCAUCUAUUUUAAAAGUCUCAGAGUAAUCUAUUACAUCUUGUAUUUGUCGAAUAUUAAAACCAAUAUACCUAUUUUUUACAUAUCCUUUCUGGUCAGUGUGUAUAAUUUUGGGUAGCAGGGGUUUUAAUCUUUGUGCUAAUGCAUAAGCGAGUAAUUUUGCAUCAUAAUUUAAAGAGAGUUAUAGGUCUAUAAUUAUCUAGUGAAAGAGGGUCAUUUUUUUAUAAAUUAAGGAUAUUAGACCUACUUUCUGAGUGUUUGAUAGCUUUCCUUUUUCAUAACAAUAAUUAAAAGUAGCGACUAUAAAAGUUUUUAAUUCUUCCCAAAAUUUUCUGUAAAAUUCAACAUUUAAUCCAUCAAGCCCAGGAGCUUUAUUUAGUUUCAUUUUAAAAAUUGCAUCAGUACAUUCAUCAACAGUUAUUUCCCCUUCACAAGUAUUACUUUCAGAGUCAUUUAAUUUUUUAUAUUCUUUUAGAGAUUCUAAAUACUUUUUUGUUUCUUCUAUCUCGGGAUUUUUUGUAGAGUACAAAUUUUUAUAAUAAUUUGCUUCUAAUUCUAAUAUUUUGUCUUGAUCUCUUGUAAUUUGACCCUUAUCAUCAUAUAAUUGGGUUAUUGUUUUUCUACUCUGUCUAGAUUUUUCCAUCCCUAGAAAAUAUGCUGAAUUUUUUUCUCCCUCUUCAACCCAUUUUACCUUGCCCUUAUUCGGUUACCUUUUAUUUUCUCAUUAUAGAGUUUUCCUAUUUCAUUUUCUAUAUUUUCUACUUUCUGUACUAAAUUGCUUUUGUUUUUGUCAUUGCAUGAUGAUUUGUCUAUAAUUUUAUUUAAUUCCGUUAACAUUUUUUCCAACUGGCUGAUUUGGUCUUUUUUAUUUUUAGCUUUUAUUUUACAAUAGUUGAUUGUCUGGUCUCUAACUUCAAUUUUGAAAUUGUCCCACAGAAUGUCAAGUUCAGUUUUAGUUUUUGCCUUGUUUUUAUAAUUUUUUAUUAUCUUAUUAAUUAUUUCAAUGUAGUCUUCAUUUUGAAGUACACUACUGUUAAGUUUCCAGUAUCCCCUUCCUUUUUGUCCUCUACUUAAAUUUAUUUUUAAGGAAACACAGUUGUGAUCUGUGUAUUGUAGUACUAUUGGUCUUAUAUCACAUGAAACACAGUUUUUGAAUACCUCAGGAGCAAUUAAAAAAUAAUCAAUUCUUGUUGACUCCGAUCUAUCUUUUCUACUCCAUGUAUAUUGAAUUUUGUUUGGAUUUCUGUUUCUCCACACAUCACUUAGUUUAAGGGACUUUAUAAGUUUAUUUAAGUUGUGAGCAGGUUUUUUUUUUAUUUUGGUGCUUAGAUUUGCUUUUUGAAUCAAUAUGGGAUAAAAUUUCGUUAAAAUCUCCUCCUAGAAUUAAUUGACCCAAACUUUUUUUUCUUCUAUUACAGCAUGUACAGUUUUAAAAAAAAUAUUUCUGCUUUUUGGAUUAUUUGGCGCAUAAAUGUUAGCUAUUGUUAUAAUAGUGUCAUCUAUUUCAAUAUUAACAAGCAAUAGCCUUCCUUCAUUAUCUUUAUAGUCAUCUAUAAUUUUAAAGUUUAGUUUUUUUUUUUCAGCCAUAUGGCAAUUCCCCUUGAAUUGCUGGAACCAUUACUUAGUAUAAGUUUGCCUUCAAAUUCAGUAUUUAAAUGGUUUAUCAAAUUAUCUGUAAAGUGUGUUUCUUGCAUAAGAAGAAUGUCACAUUUUUUGGGUUUUCGACCAUUCAAUCAAUCUUUUUCUUUUAUCAGGUUGUUUGUAAGCCUUUACAAUUUACUGUACAGAUAUGAAGAUGUUUGUUUAAUACCAUAGUUGGUGAGUAUUUUUAAUAUUUAUUUGUAACAUCCAUUAUGCUUCAGUAAACUUAGGUUAAUCCCCUUUGGAGUGUUAAUAAUUAGGUUACAUUUUAGGUGACCUUCACAGAGACUAUAAAUAGACAUUUUUCCAGGUGUUUUAUUUUUAAAGGGACUUUUAUUUAUUAAUCGACUUGUUCUUUGUAUUAUAAAUAGGAGUAAUAUAUUUAUAAUUCUUUUACAUUUGUAGCUGAAUGUAUUUAUUGUGUACAUGUAAUCAUUACAAGUUUUACACUUAUUAACUUUAUAAAUAAUGUUAACAAACAUUAUUAAUUUUUUACCUGUACUUGUACUUUUUGUGUUUAAAUUCAAUCUACAAAAAGGAUGAUUUGUCCAUCCUGCACAUUUAAUUUUACUGGUUUUACAUGUGUUAUUAUGUAAAAAAUAAGCAUAGUUUAUUUCUAUUGAAGACAUAUAACUACAAGUUACAUUCAAAAAUGAGAAAAAUGUGUUGUUUUCUUUGACCUCAAAGGUCAUUAUUUGGGUCAUCCUUGUGACUUCACAAACAGUCAUUGACAUGUACAUCAUAACUUGAGUACACUCAGUGUCUGUUGGGCUCAUAUAAAUAUAAACACAUAUGUACUUCAAUUUGAAAUACAUAAUCAAAACAUAUUUAAAAAGAGCUAUUUGUAUAUACACAUGCUUGCAUAUACAUAUACAUGUAUAACAAAUAAAAACAAUUUUGUUAUAAGUACAAAGCAUGAGAAUCAGUUUUGUUAAAAUAUUUGUAUUUAUAGAAGUGGUAUGUUGGUUUAAAUUUUUCAUUAUAACCACAUUUACUUUUACAAAGUUUAACUUUUGGGUUUUGAAUAUUUCUAGGAUUGAAUUUUUGACAAAUAAAAUAUAUUGUAAAAUUGUUUGCUUGAAGAUUUUCUAUUUUUUGCUUUAUUGCCAAAAUGUGUUUGAUUAAACAUUUCUUAUCUUUAUUUUUAGGAUAAGAAGAUGGUGACCGAUUUUGACUGGUCCUCACUGAACAUUGGCUUCCAAAAAGUUGAAACCUCAUCAGAUAUGGAUAAAAUGUGAAAAGCUCAAUAUGUACAGACAGAACAAAUAUAAUUAUGUACAACUGUAUUUUUAAAAAAUUUUUUUUUUUUUAUAAUAUAUAAUAAAAUAGGUU